UGGGAUUAAAACAAAGGCCUAGUGAAGUCCUCAUAGCAUCUUUGGGAUUAUUCAGGAACCAGAACUUUUCACACAAAUGUAAGGAAUUUUACAAAGGAAUCCUUUACCCAGCAUCUCACAAAGCUUCAAUCAGAUUCCAGAAAAGGCCACUUGAGACAUCCAGGUAGAACCUA
rfam:Myotis brandtii contig223158, whole genome shotgun sequence.